rnacentral:rRNA from 1 species
AUUGAACGCUGGCGGCAGGCCUAACACAUGCAAGUCGAACGAGUGGCGGACGGGUGAGUAAUGUCUGGGAAACUGCCUGAUGGAGGGGGAAAACUACUGGAAACGGUAGCUAAUACCGUAUACCAUCAGAUGUGCCCAGAUGGGUUUAGCUUGGUGGUGGGGUAACGGCUCACCAAGGCGACGAUCCCUAGCUGGUCUGAGAGGGAGACCAGCCAAACUGGAACUGAGACCCGGGCCAGAAUCCUACGGGAGGCAGGAGGGGGGAAUAUUGCACAAUGGGCGCAAGCCUGAUGGAGCCAUGCCGCGUGUAUGAAGAAGGCCUUCGGGUUGGAAAGUACUUUCAGCGGGGAGGCGUUACCCGAAGAAGAAGCACCGGCUAACUCCGUGCCAGCAGCCGCGGGAAUAC